AGCAUAUCAAUAAGCGGAGGAAAAGAAACCAACAGGGAUUGCCCCAGUAACGGCGAGUGAAGCGGCAACAGCUCAAAUUUGAAAUCUGGCCCCAGGCCCGAGUUGUAAUUUGCAGAGGAUGCUUUUGGCGCGGUGCCUUCCGAGUUCCCUGGAACGGGACGCCAUAGAGGGUGAGAGCCCCGUACGGUUGGACACCAAGCCUUUGUAAAGCUCCUUCGACGAGUCGAGUAGUUUGGGAAUGCUGCUCUAAAUGGGAGGUACAUUUCUUCUAAAGCUAAAUAUUGGCCAGAGACCGAUAGCGCACAAGUAGAGUGAUCGAAAGAUGAAAAGCACUUUGAAAAGAGGGUUAAACAGCACGUGAAAUUGUUAAAAGGGAAGCGCUUGUGACCAGACUUGCGUCCGGUGAAUCACCCAGCUCUCGCGGCUGGGGCACUUCGCCGGCACAGGCCAGCAUCAGCUUGCCGUCGGGGACAAAAGCUUCAGGAACGUGGCUCCUCUCGGGGAGUGUUAUAGCCUGUUGCAUAAUACCCUUCGGCGGGCUGAGGUACGCGCUCCGCAAGGAUGCUGGCGUAAUGGUCAUCAGCGACCCGU
rnacentral:rRNA from 1 species